GUCCGUGUACGCAUACAACGUACUCCAAGACUAAUUUCAAAAAAGUAACGUUGGAUAUGCAUAUGAUGAUAGAAAAAAAAUAGUAAAACAAAGGAAAAACAGUAAACAAAUAGCAUGUAAGAAUCCAACAACAAUAAUAAAAAUAACACAAAAAAUUUAUUUAUCAAUCUAUAGUGUCAACCAAGUCGAUACGACUCAACAUUGUGGCUCCAAUUCUAAAAAUCCACAGCAAAGUCCCCAAAGUUCUCACACCCCAUUUUUACCAAAAAAUUGAUUGAAAGUUCAAAAGAUUUUCAAU
rnacentral:lncRNA from 1 species